GCUCAAAUUUAAAAUCUGGCGGUCUUCGGCCGUCCGAGUUGUAAUCUGGAGAAGCGUUUUCCGCGCCGGACCGUGUACAAGUCUCUUGGAACAGAGCGUCAUAGAGGGUGAGAAUCCCGUCUUUGACACGGACUACCGGUGCUAUGUGAUGCGCUCUCGAUGAGUCGAGUUGUUUGGGAAUGCAGCUCAAAAUGGGUGGUAAAUUCCAUCUAAAGCUAAAUAUUGGCGAGAGACCGAUAGCGAACAAGUACCGUGAGGGAAAGAUGAAAAGCACUUUGGAAAGAGAGUUAAACAGUACGUGAAAUUGCUGAAAGGGAAACGAUUGAAGUCAGUCGCGUGUGCUAGAACUCAGCCUUGCUUUUGCUUGGUGCAUUUUCUAGUGUACGGGCCAGCAUCAGUUUCGGCUGCCGGAAAAAGGCCUUGGGAAUGUGGCACCUUCGGGUGUGUUAUAGCCCUCGGUUGUAUACGGUGGCUGGGACUGAGGAACUCAGCACGCCUUUAUGGCGGGGCUUCGGCCACCUUCGUGCUUUGGAUGCUGGCGUAAUGGCUUUAAACGACCCGUCU
rnacentral:rRNA from 1 species